UAGGGAAUCUUCCACAAUGGGCGAAAGCCUGAUGGAGCAACGCCGCGUGUGUGACGAAGGGUUUCGGCUCGUAAACACUGUUGUAAGAGAAGAAUGACAUUGAGAGUAACUGUUCAAUGUGUGACGGUAUCUUACCAGAAAGGAACGGCUAAAUACGUGCCAC
rnacentral:rRNA from 1 species